GACGAACGCUGGCGGCGUGCCUAAUACAUGCAAGUCGAGCGAACUUGCGGGAGCUUGCUCCCAAAAGUUAGCGGCGGACGGGUGAGUAACACGUGGGCAACCUGCCUAUAAGACUGGGAUAACUUCGGGAAACCGGAGCUAAUACCGGAUAAUUCUUUUCUACUCAUGUAGAAAAGCUGAAAGACGGUUUACGCUGUCACUUAUAGAUGGGCCCGCGGCGCAUUAGCUAGUUGGUGAGGUAACGGCUCACCAAGGCCACGAUGCGUAGCCGAACUGAGAGGUUGAUCGGCCACACUGGGACUGAGACACGGCCCAGACUCCUACGGGAGGCAGCAGUAGGGAAUCUUCCGCAAUGGACGAAAGACUGACGGAGCAACGCCGCCUGAGUGAUGAAGGUUUUCGGAUCGUAAAACUCUGUUGUUAGGGAAGAACAAGUACGAGAGUAACUACUCGUACCUUGACGGUACCUAACCAGAAAGCCACGGCUAACUACGUGCCAGCCGCCGCCGUAACAC
rnacentral:rRNA from 1 species